GCAAAGAUCCAGACAAAGGCACAUGAGAGGAGAACAGCACCGAUUUGACAAAGAUUUGUAAAUAUUUAACCGCAAAGUGUUUUGAGUGUGCCUCCUGCUCCCCAUGAAUGGUGUACUCACUCCUUGGACUUGGUAUUCUGGCUGUGAUGCUGCCUUUGCCUUUUGGAGUGCGAAAC